UACAGAGGUCCCGAGCGUUGUUCGGAUUCAUUGGGCGUAAAGGGUGCGUAGGCGGCGGGGCAAGUCUGAUGUGAAAUCCCGGGGCUCAACCCCUGAACUGCAUUGGAUACUGCCUUGCUCGAGUACUGGAGAAGGAACUGGAAUUUACGGUGUAGCAGUGAAAUGCGUAGAGAUCGUAAGGAAGGCCAGUGGCGAAGGCGAGUUCCUGGACAGUUACUGACGCUGAGGCACGAAGGCCAGGGGAGCAAACGGG
rnacentral:rRNA from 1 species